rnacentral:tRNA from 1 species
GAAAUAUAAAAAUUUUAAGAUGAAGCUGCUAACUUUAACUUUAGUGGUUAAAUUCCAUUAAUAUUUCU